rnacentral:rRNA from 1 species
CCCUUAGAUGUUCUGGGCUGCACGCGCGCUACACUGAUGCGUUCAACGAGUUUAUGACCUUGCCCGAUAGGGUUGGGUAAUCUUUUUAAAUCGCAUCGUGAUGGGGAUAGAUUAUUGCAAUUAUUAAUCUUCAACGAGGAAUUCCUAGUAAGCGCGAGUCAUCAGCUCGUGCUGAUUACGUCCCUGCCUUUUGUACACACCGCCCGUCGCUCCUACCGAUUGAAUGGUCCGGUGAAAUCUCGGGACGGCGGCUUGGUCGCUUGCGUCCGACUGCUGAAACUUGAUUAAACCAUAUCAUUUAGAGGAAGGUGAAGUCGUAACA